AGACGCUCCAGUCACCUUGCCCGUCCGGGCGCGCAGCCUUUCCGAAACCGGCUCACCCACGGGGCCCUAAAUUACGGCGAUUACACUGCAAUUCGCGGCGCGAUAUUACUUUGAUACACUACCUGCUGUAGCCGGCACUUGGAGGCGUGCAUUAUUUACCAGGGAGGCUGCCCGCGCUGCGCACCAGAACCGCCAGCGCUCGGCAGGGUCUUUCCUGUCCCUGCAGCCCAGCCCACGCUGACACAGUGCGGGGUCUUGGCGGGGAGAGGACAGGAGCAGCCACCCUUUCUCCGAGUGACCCUUUCCUGACCGCGAUAUAGGCCAGGAGAGGAACGAGCAACAGAAGUGGCAGCUGCCAAUGAAGUUGGGGGUGGGUGGGUAGGGAGAGGCGCUGAGCUCCGGCUCCUCCUGCUCUGAAGGACACCUCUGGUCCCCCUUACCUGUCCUAGGAGCCCCUGUCGGGCACGUCCUGGGACCCGAGCGAGAGGAGGGCGCGUCCAGAGCGCAAAGCUCGCGGAGACUGGCUAACCGCAGCAGCCAGUUAACCCUGGACCAGUCUCCACUGGGCCUGUGCCCUCCGGUUGGCGAAGACAAGGGAGAUCCGGCUACGUCCCUCCCCUAGGUCUCUGGAAGCUGAAGCCGCUGCAGCCAAGGCCUGGUUUCAUUCUGGCUGGGGGCUGAGGGCUGGAGUUGGACAGCCGGCCUCUCUGCGGUUCCCCCAUUAUGGCUUGGCAUCAGCAUCUAGAUUGCAGGAUUGAUGGAGCCAGAAACCUCCUGCAGGGGCCCCCAGAGGUUCUUGCAUCCAGUGUGGCAUCCAGACAGUGUGUGGUUAAUGAGUCCGAAGAAAGGACCAGCGUCGGUGAGCUUUGGGUGUCUGUUUUGGAGGGUGAAGGAGGAUGGUCUGCAGCGGGUCAUGGUGGGUGGUCUGUCCAGAUGUGGAUCCCUGUUAACAUCCUAGUUCCUGUUCUUCAGGAUUUACCAACAAACCAACAAAUUGGUCCCCACAGGACAUGCCUGGCGGAGGGGGGUGCCCCCAACCCUAUGAAGUGUGUCCAGAAUCCUUGUUAUCUGCCUCCCUUUCCUGGAUUGUAACCCCCACUUCCAUUCUGGCCUUCAUUUUCCAACAGGGAGUAGCCGAGGAGCCCUAGGAAGGCAUCUCUGACCCCACAUCUCCCCAGCACCCUGAAAAAGUCCCUGAUGUGGAUGUUCUAGACUCCAGAUUAAGCCUCCCCCUCUUGCAGAGCCCAGCAUAAAAUGCAAAUUCUCCUGGGAGUGGCAACACUUUGAAUCUGUGCUGUCUUCUAGUGGAGGAGUCUGGCAGCCCUGCAGGAGCACCUGGAGCACCUGGCUGUGGAGGGGCUUCUGGAAGGAAGCACAGGAGCAGAGGAAGGAGAAGGAGUUCAAAUGCCCGUACCUCCCGGGAGUUCCCAUCGUGGCGCAGUGGAAACGAAUCCAACUAGGAACCAUAAAGUUGCAGGUUUGAUCCCUGGCCUCGCUUAGUGGGUUAAGGAUCUGGUGUUGCUGUGAGCUGUGGUGUAG
rnacentral:lncRNA from 9 species